rnacentral:rRNA from 1 species
AACGAACGCUGGCGGCAUGCCUAACACAUGCAAGUCGAACGAAGGCUUCGGCCUUAGUGGCGCACGGGUGAGUAACGCGUGGGAAACUGCCUAUUGGUGGGGAAUAACGACGGGGAACUGUCGCUAAUACCGCAUAAGCCCUUCGGGGGAAAGAUUUAUCGCCGAUAGAUGUGCCCGCGUCCGAUUAGCUAGUUGGUGAGGUAAUGGCUCACCAAGGCGAUGAUCGGUAGCUGGUCUGAGAGGAUGAUCAGCCACACUGGGACUGGGACACGGCCCAGACUCCUACGGGAGGCAGCAGUGGGGAAUAUUGGACAAUGGGCGAAAGCCUGAUCCAGCAAUGCCGCGUGAGUGAUGAAGGCCUUAGGGUUGUAAAGCUCUUUCGGGUGGGACGAUGAUGACGGUACCACCAGAAGAAGCCCCGGCUAACUUCGUGCCAGCAGCCGCAGUAA